AUGGAGUUCCUGGGCCAGGGAUCAGAUCCGAGCCACAGUUUCAACCUAAGUUGCAGCUGUGGCAAUGCUGGAUAUUUAACCCACUCCAUGCAGCCAGACUCAUAUACUGGUGUUUUCUCCAAAUAGUUUGGGGCUAGUUUCUGAUUGGGAGGAACAACACUUGAUUACUUACGUCAGUUUAAUAAGUGAGAGUCUCUGAUGUAUCAGACAAUCUUUGGAGCCCUUUGCAUUGUUUCCUUGCUCAUGCAUCUUCUUUAUCUGACUCACUAUAAAACAAAAAUGGCACCACUUCAGGACUUCAGGCCUGUGCCAUGACAUUUCAGAGAAACUGAAAUCCCAUCUGAAUGGAAAGAGUUAAUACAAUUCCUUUAGCCAGAGGGUAGAGAUUUUAACUCUCCUGAAGAGCCUGGUCUAUGUGAAAGCAUCUCUUUUUGUGGUGCCUGGCAGAGUCUGCAUGGCUCACCAGCUCUCCCCUGUCCUGAUGAGCCAGCCUUGUCACCAAACCCCUCUGCCCACCAGAUUGAGGCCAGGACUGUACAGGUACUGCUCGUUCCCUUCCGGUCGCUCACUGGGCCCCUCCUAGACCUGGGAGGAAGGAGUGGGAGGAGUAAUAUGAGGAGACUGAAGACACUGAGUUAUGAGGGAAAAAAAAAUCUCAGUCAAAUACAUCUGAAGCCAGUCUUCCCCCAAACUGGGAUAAAUCUGGGUGAUUUAUCCUGAUUAAUGUGGAUGGGCCUCAACUGAAAGUCUCUAAGAACAAAACCGAAGUUUCCCAGAGGAACAGUGGCUUUCAUCUGUGAACUAUAGUGUCCAUGCCCACGUUAAUCAGGUUAAUCGCCUUUAUUUAAAUUAAAUUUUUCAGAGUUCCUGCUUUGGUGGAAGGGGAUUGGCUAUAUCUUGCAGCGCUAGGAUGCGUGGCACAAUGGGUUAAAGUUGCUGGCAUUGCUGUAGCAGCCGCAGACAUAGGUCUUGUUUGCUGCUCAGAUCUGAUCCCUGGCCUGGGAACUCCAUAUGCCACAGGGAGGGCCCCCCUCCUAAAAAAAAAAGAGAAAAGAAAAAAAAAAAAUAGAAAAAAGAAAAAAAAUAGAAAAAGUCAGUUUAUUGUAGACAAUGUAAUCACAUCUAUAAAAUACCUUUAACCUAGCCAAGUUACACAGCAAACUAGCCAACGCAACACACAAGCUUAUUUUUCCUCUGAGAGCUGGGGGAAUAUCCCUGGAGCACUAUUUAUAUGGGAUAAACAAAAUAUUGUAAAGAUGCCAGCCCUCUGUGGAGAGAACUUGCCUCUGGUCCUCAGAGAGUCAAUCUAGGAAUCGUUAACAAGGGAAUUGCUUGUGGUCCCAGAACUGGAGGCACACAGGCCCCUCCCGCCUCUUGCACUGUUUUCACAGGCACCAGGAUAUAGGAAGAGUAGUGAUGGACACCCCAGGGAACUGAGAGAAAACUGGAAUCUGGGAAACCUGAGGUCAGCACAACUUGUCAGACACAUGUUAGGAUUUGGAGAGAAUUAAACUGGGGAGUUCCUGUUGUGGCUCAGAGGGUUAAGAACCUGAUAUAGUGUCUGUGAGGAUGUGGGUUCAAUACCGGGCCUCAAUCAGUGGAUUAAGGAUCCAGUGUUGCCACAAGCUGCAGCAUGUCACUGAUGUGGAUCAGAUCUGAUGUGGCUGUUGUGUGGCUUCCAUAAGCCACAGGCACAGCCCUAAAAAAAAAAAAAAAAGAAAAAAUUACACCAGGACUGGUGUGAGAUGUUGGUCACAUUCUUGUUCUCAACAUGGAAAAAUCUGAAAUUCACUUUUUCUCUUCAUGACCACUCUGAUUUGCAGGGCCUUGUGGGAGUAAUGGGAUAUGUGUUUACAUGCAUGUAUAUUCUCUUGUGUAUUAUUUGCUUUUUUUAUUUAUUGCCCCAGCUGUGGCAUGCAGAAGUUUCUGGGUCAGGGAUUGAACCAGAGCCAUGGCAGUGGCAAAGUGGGAUCCUUAAGCCACUGAGUCACCAGGGAACUAUGUACCUGUGUAUUUAUUUAGUGGGAGUUUCCUAUCCCUAGAGUCAAUAAACCUUUGCGNNGGGGGGGAGGACUCAUUUUGUUCUAAAAGAUCACUUUGGGGGGCAGGGUUGUAGGGAGGAGCGUGAGAGGGAGUUUGAGGGGAACCAGGGCUGGUUCCCAAGGAGGAAAUCGGGUCAGCCUCCCACACACCUGUUAGAUGACUUGGAGCUUGAAGAUCGUUGAGCUGAGAUUGGACAAAUGUAGUUAGGAAGGUAGUGCUCUCUCAGAAGGAAAGAGAUUCGGAUCUUGACUUUUUUCUUUGUGGUUCAAAUUUAGUGCAAUAUAUUCGAUGGCCUGGGAUAGUGCAGACCAAGGUUGGGCAGCAGGAAAAGUAUAAGAUGACCUCUAAGACAAAAUUCACCAAAAUGGGAGGGGUAAUUCAAAUGCAUGAUUAGUUUCCACACAAGGGCAACCCAGGUAGAAGAUGCUUCCGGACCCAGUGUAGACUCCUGCAGCUACCUGGGCACUGGUUCAUCUAGAGAAACAGGGCUAGUGUGUGAGUUGAAAGAGCCGAUCCUUAAGAGCUUCUACAUGUGGGGCCUGGGCUAAAACUGCUGAGUGGGAGACUUGGGGGAAAGAGUGUC
rnacentral:lncRNA from 1 species